AUGACUCAGUUCCCUCAACUGGUUGUGAACAUUCUCUUAACUCGCCUAGCUUCUGAUCAGCGGCUCCCUAGUUCUGUACAUUGUAGUAGAGAGUUUUUAAUGACCAAACAUCAUCUUUCCUCUAAUCCCAGGAGACAGAGUGUCCCAGAGAGCCAGGCACACAGGAAGCAUCCUGUGGAAAGAGCCCAAGAAUGGGGACUACACCGGCGACAGAAACGACUGUUGUGGGGGAUCCGUGCGGCCUUUUGGCCGAGGCCUUCAGGACACAAGGCCCCCACCGACAGACGCGACCCUCCCUUGGGAGGGAGGCAGGGCGAGGGGGCGGAGGCCCUAGCCGCCGGCGAGUCACUCGGCACAAAGGAGACAGCAGGGAGGCGGCCGCAGGAGCCGAUCUGCGCUCGCCAGCCACUUGAAUUGCGGUUACAGACCUGCAGCUCCCCUCCCCCUCCCCACCCAGGCCCGCCCGCCCGCCCGCCUUUCUGUCUCCUUUCUCCCUCCGUACUGGCCGGCCCGGGUCCAUUUCCGGGCUCCGGGUAUUCGGUAUUGAUCAGGGCCGGGGGCGCGGGAGCAGGUGGCUGCGGCGGCGCAGCCUGCUGCGCCCGGGUCGGUCUCCCGCCGCCCUUGUCGCUAGCCCUUGCACGGCGGCCCGCCCCGUCCUCCGGGCCCGAGCGCUGCCCGCUGGACUUUGCGCCGCGUCGGGCGCUGCUGCUGCUGCGCGCCGGGCCGUGCUCUGUGCAGGCGGCUGCCGGGAAGCCGGAGGCGAAGUGCAGCCCGGACCCCAGGCCAACAUGGCUGAAGUCACCAUCGACCAGUCCAAGCUGCCGGGAGUCAAGGAAGGACAUUGCUCGACUCUUGCAAGAAAAGGAGUUACAGGAAGAGAAAAAGCGAAAGAAACACUUUCCAGAGUCUUCUGGAGUCAGUGCUUAUGGUGAUAGUUACUAUUAUGAAGAUGGAGACCAGCCACGGUCAAGGAGGGCAAGGGAGUUGGGUUCAGGAAGCUCAAGGCCUUGUAGACUCCAACAUGAGGAAAAGACUGUGAAGCACAGGAGGGAGAGACCUAGACAUCCCCAGGAGAACUUGGGAGGACCGGAAGAGCACUGUUCGUCAGAGAAACCUCCGUCACCUUCUAGCUCGGGUCAAGUGAGGGAUGAUCCCCAAGUUAACACUGAGCCCGAAAGAAAACGCUGUGGCCACGAGAGGCUCCGGAGACCUCCCCUCCCCAAGAUCAGCGGUGAGGUGUUUCUGAGCACCGAAUCGGAUGACUGGGAGGCUCACUCUAGCCAUCGAACUCGGAACUGGGAAAAACAGUUCAAACAGCAAGACCAGCUCUCUCCCAAAACCUCACGGAGCGCGGGGCUUCCCUGCAAGGAAGCCGUUUAUAGGAGGGACCAUGGGCAAGGUGAGCACAGAGAGAGGAAACGCAGGCCCCGGACCCCUCCCUUCUCAGAGAGUGAGGAGCAGCUCCCGCUCCGAGACACAGGAAUGAAGCCCAGAGUGAUGAAAGAAGCAGUUUCUACUCCUUCACGAGUGACCCACAGAGAUCAGGAAUGGUAUGAUGCUGAAAUUGCCAGAAAACUUCAAGAAGAAGAAAUUUUGGCCACCCAGGUGGACAUGAGAGCAGCUCAAGUUGCUCAGGAUGAGGAAAUUGCUAGACUCCUAAUGGCUGAAGAAAAGAAAGCUUACAAGAAAGCCAGGGAGCGGGAGAAAUCAUCUUUGGACAAAAGAAAGCAUGACCCUGAGUGGAAGCCCAAAACAGCUAAAUCAGCACACUCAAAGUCAAAAGAGAGUGAUGAACCUCACCGUUCUAAGAAUGACAGACCAGCACGAUUUAAUCAUGGUGGAAGAUGAGUUAACCAUUUGUACAGAAAGAUGGUUUCAAGGAUUGAGAAACUUGGAGCUUGCUAGUUCAAGAUGUUUACUUCAGUUUAGUACCAAUAGUGGUACAGGGGAAACAGAUUCUCAUGGAGAGCUUAUAACAGUCAUGGUUAAAAGUCGUUUUCGUUGUCCAUUAAAGAUUUCUACUCUAAAAAACAGAAAACUAGUUGUCAAUCUGAAUUAAUUCCAAUUCUUU
rnacentral:lncRNA from 1 species